rnacentral:rRNA from 1 species
UACAGAGGUGGCAAGCGUUGUUCGGAAUUACUGGGCGUAAAGGGUGCGUAGGCGGGCCUUUAAGUCAGGGGUGAAAUCCUGGAGCUCAACUCCAGAACUGCCUUUGAUACUGAGGAUCUUGAGUACGGGAGAGGUGAGUGGAACUGCGAGUGUAGAGGUGAAAUUCGUAGAUAUUCGCAAGAACACCAGUGGCGAAGGCGGCUCACUGGCCCGUUACUGACGCUGAGGCACGAAAGCGUGGGGAGCAAACAGG